UACGUAGGGGGCUAGCGUUAUUCGGAAUUACUGGGCGUAAAGCGCACGUAGGCGGCUUUGUAAGUAAGAGGUGAAAGCCUGGAGCUCAACUCCAGAACUGCCUUUUAGACUGCAUCGCUUGAAUCCAGGAGAGGUGAGUGGAAUUCCGAGUGUAGAGGUGAAAUUCGUAGAUAUCGGGAGGAACACCAGUGGCGAAGGCGACUGCCUGGCCUGUGCUUGACGCUGAGGCGCGAAAGCUAGGGUAGCAAACGGG
rnacentral:rRNA from 1 species